UACGUAGGGGGCGAGCGUUGUCCGGAAUUACUGGGCGUAAAGCGUGCGUAGACGGCUAUCUAAGUCGGGUGUGAAAGCCCCGGGCUCAACCUGGGAAUUGCAUUCGAGACUGAAUAGCUAGGGUACGGUAGAGGGAAGUGGAAUUUCCGGUGUAGCGGUGAAAUGCGUAGAUAUCGGAAGGAACAUCAGUGGCGAAAGCGACUUCCUGGACCAGUACCGACGUUCAGGCACGAAAGCGUGGGGAGCAAACAGG
rnacentral:rRNA from 1 species